AGGGUUAUCGACAGGUUAUCAGUAAUGUAUUCUGUUUGACCCAACUAAAGAAAUAAUAAUUUUGUGUUUACUGUUUUUGUUUUUUGUAAUUGUAAUUUAUUUCCUGUAGAAAUCUUUCACACUGAUUUUAUAUUUGACGCUAUGUCAUGAUAAACAGUGACAACAAUAUAUGUAUUGUCCGGUUACAAUUUACAAGUAGUUCACGGCAUUAUUAUUAUUGAAAACUGGUUUUAUAUUUUAUUUCUGCGUUUUGUAAACGGUUAGAGGAAACGCUUGUAGGUCACGCCGGUCGUUUUGCAUGGUUGAAGUACGACGUGCAACGUUUUUCUAUCCGAAAUACUUAUUAUUUGGUAUUUCUGCAGUUAUUUUAAAGCUUGGUAUCUAUUUUCUGCAAGUACAAAAUAUGACAGAAAGCCCAGAUACCGUUACAAUAAAAAACGGUAAUAGUUCUGCAACUGUUCAUUUAUUUGACUCUGGUGGCCAUAGUUCAACAAUUGUUGCUAAUAAUGCCUCAAACAUCUACUAUAGGUUCUUUUUUCAUUGAUGGAAGAUUGAAAUAAGAGCUACACUAACAUCUUGGAUCUCUCAGGGCAAAGGAAUAUUAUUUGUCAG